UACGUAGGGGGCAAGCGUUGUCCGGAUUUAUUGGGCGUAAAGAGCGUGUAGGCGGCCAGGUAGGUCUGGUGUGAAAACUCGAGGCUUAACCUCGAGAUGUCAUCGGAAACCAUCUGGCUAGAGUCCGGAAGAGGAGAGUGGAAUUCCUGGUGUAGCGGUGAAGUGCGCAGAUAUCAGGAAGAACACCAAUGGCGAAAGCAGCUCUCUGGGACGGUACUGACGCUGAGACGCGAAAGCGUGGGGAGCGAACAGG
rnacentral:rRNA from 1 species